GAUAACAGGUUGAUCUUCCCCAAGAGCUCACAUCGACGGGAAGGUUUGGCACCUCUAUGUCGGCUCUUCGCCACUUGGGGCUGUAGUAUGUUCCAAGGGUUGGGCUGUUCGCCCAUUAAAGUGGUACAUGAGCUGGGUUCAGAACAUUGUGAGACAGUUC
rnacentral:ncRNA from 1 species